CUGACACACUGCUGGUGCUGUCUAUUUUACAUGUAUCUUUGAAAAACAAGAUUAUUAUCUUGGCAGCACAACAAACUGUAUUUGAUAUAGCCAUUGCCUUCUAUCAAGGACUGUAGCAGAGACAAACUGAGAUUAUUUAGGCUUGUUUUGCCCAGCUGUCCUGAAUACCUAGGAAAUGACCACUGUGGUCCAUGUUAUGGAGAUAGAGAAGCAGAUGAGACCUUUUUCAGCCCAGACAGCUGGGUAGCUGGUGCCAGCCGAAGCACUGUGGAGCACCAGUCCUGUGUGGAGCACCAGUGCUACCAAUUGUUUUCAACCUUCCUGCUAGACAGAUCUAAGACAGCCUGGGCACAUAGAGAGGCAGAUGGUCCAUAACAUAUGGUGUUCAUCAUCUGGGGCCAAAAAAACUGUCUGUCGGAGGGAUGGAAGGAAACACCAAACUUUCCUAUGGUGCAAUGCAGGAGUGAUCUGAUGUCAUCUAACUGGAAAACUUGGCUUACUCCUACAAACACACAGGUAGUUGAAGUGCCUGCUGCAGAUGUUUGGCUACAACACCCAUCCUGGGUGCAUCCGUAUUCAGCAUACCAUGGAAGAAGUGACUCAAGGAAGCACAAAAGUCCUGAAGAUGGCAUUCAACCUUCAUCCUCAGAUUUCUUGCACUGACUUUUAUCGUCCAUCCCACAGAAGACAUGUGCUUUGUCCAGAUGGUGAGGAGCACUUUGAAUUCCAGUCUUGUCUGCAGAAAUACAUGCAGGCCCUCACAGGUUGCUUUGGUCUGAACAUUUUGUAUUAAUUGCAUAAACAACUUCUGUUCCAGCAUCAAACUGAAAAGAUCACUUAAUAGUGGAUUUAUAAUAGCCUCCUCUAGGACACUACUUGAUCUGUCCUGCCA
rnacentral:lncRNA from 1 species